CAAUAGCGUAUAUUAAAGUUGUUGCGGUUAAAAAGCUCGUAGUUGGAUUUCUGUUGAGGAAGUCCGGUCCGCACUUUGUGCGUGAUCUGGUUCUGCCUCGGCAUCCUCGCGGGGCACAUGCUGCGCUUGAUUGCGUGGUGUGGUAUUCGCGACUUUUACUUUGAGGAAAUUAGAGUGUUCACGGCAGACAAUUGUCUUGAAUACGUUAGCAUGGAAUAAUAAUAUAGGACCUUGGUUCUAUUUUGUUGGUUUCUAGAACUAAGGUAAUGAUUAAUAGGGAUAAUUGGGGGCAUUUGUAUUAACACGUCAGAGGUGAAAUUCUUGGAUUGUGUUACGACAAACUACUGCGAAAGCAUUUGCCAAGGAUGUUUUCAUUGA
rnacentral:rRNA from 1 species